rnacentral:rRNA from 1 species
GACGGAGGAUGCAAGCGUUAUCCGGAAUUAUUGGGCGUAAAGCGUCCGCAGGUGGCUUUUCAAGUCUGCUGUGAAAGACCGGGGCUUAACUUCGGAAAGGCAGUGGAAACUGAACAGCUAGAGUAUGGUAGGGGCAGAGGGAAUUCCUGGUGUAGCGGUGAAAUGCGUAGAGAUCAGGAAGAACAUCGGUGGCGAAGGCGGCAUUCUGGACCGACAUUGACGCUGAGGAGCGAAAGCCAGGGGAGCAAACGGG